AAGAGCACAUUUACAGGCUGAAUUAGGCCCAAGGGCCAUGAAUUUGAAAACUUGACUUUUCUAAUCUAACAUCAAAAAAUCAAAUUAUAAGAACAGAAAGGGUUUAAAAAUUGAAUAAAUGGAAUGCUUAUCCAGUUCUCUCAGAGAGAUAUAAAACCUCUCUUAACGAGUGACUAUGUAAAAUAUACCUUUAUUAUGCUCAAUAACUAUAAGACUUAGCAUCAUAUAUAAAGCAUGGAUAUACCUUUAUGCUCAAUAACUACCGUCUUUAGCAUCAUAUAUCAUAUAUAACAUAGAUGACUGAACUUUAUAAUACUGGCAUACACAGACAUUCAAGGGGUCAUGAAUAACUGAUGAAGGAUACGACCAUCACACAAUUUCUGAAAUCAAAAGCCUGAAUUUAUUUCUUACUUAAGUAAGGGAGAGUUUUGCUGGUCAGGCAGAGUCUCUCUGAGCAAAACAAACUGCUGAUUUAGUGGAUGGGUUUGUUUUGAGGUUCCAUUUGUCUAAGAGACAGUAAGUCAGCCCUUGAAACAUGUUCAGAGUCAGCAGCUUCCCACUGGCUGACUGUCAAAGUGUGAUACUGUCACUGAUUGGCUGGCAUUCAGAGAGUAAUCAGUGAUGGAUAAAACAGCUUUAGAUCCUGUUCUGGGGUUUGAUUGUUAACCAUGGCUAGAGAAUGGGCUGUCUUCCUAGAAGCAUGGGGGCUUUUUGUGAAUUCUCAGAACUAACUCUGUAAAACUAAUAGAGGACAUGGCAAAGGUUACAUUGUCAGGGCCUCACAUGGUCAUAGAUGCUAUUUCACAAUGGGCUAUGAGCAUAUUACCACAUGGGGUGUGGCUCCCCUGUGAAGUCACGGCUGUCCAAGUAUAAAGUCAGGGCCACUUCCCAUCUCAACCUAAGAAAAGCUCUAUCAAUGUAGACAGGUGGAUCUUGCUCCUCUGAAGGGUAAUGUUCCCACCCUCAUGAACUACAAAAACCCUCCAGGCACAAGAAGCUGCUAUACAGAGGAUGACAGAGAAAAGAGAGAUUCUCCAUCCACUCCACACUGGAUCUCCAAGCAAGAGCAGCAGUGCACAGCAGACAGGUCACCAAUGGCCACAAACUCAACUGGAAGAAGGCAGAGCUAGAGACCAGAGGGUCCACUAGGGAUCAUCAGGAGAAUGGGAUACAAUUGGUGAUUUAUUUGUGGGCGCCUUUUAAUCUCCUGAUAGCUCUCAAAACCUCUGAGGGGUGGGCAGGGAGGUGUCGAGGGCCCUGCAAAUGCAGGAAAGGUGGAAAUGAGGAAAAGAGAAGUUUCCUCUGAGAAACUACACAUCAUCAGCUUGGAUGUAGUAUCUUUUCAGGG
rnacentral:lncRNA from 1 species